CACGUAGGGCGCGAGCGUUGUCCGGAAUUAUUGGGCGUAAAGAGCUCGUAGGCGGCUUGUCGCGUCGGAUGUGAAAGCCCGGGGCUUAACUCCGGGUCUGCAUUCGAUACGGGCAGGCUAGAGUUCGGUAGGGGAGAUCGGAAUUCCUGGUGUAGCGGUGAAAUGCGCAGAUAUCAGGAGGAACACCGGUGGCGAAGGCGGAUCUCUGGGCCGAUACUGACGCUGAGGAGCGAAAGCGUGGGGAGCGAACAGG
rnacentral:rRNA from 1 species